UACGUAGGGUGCGAGCGUUGUCCGGAAUUAUUGGGCGUAAAGGGCUCGUAGGCGGUCUGUUACGUCGGGAGUGAAAACUCGGGGCUCAACCCCGAGCCUGCUUCCGAUACGGGCAGACUAGAGGUAUGCAGGGGAGAAUGGAAUUCCUGGUGUAGCGGUGAAAUGCGUAGAUAUCGAGAGGAACACCUGCGGCGAAGGCGGGUUGCUGGGCUGAUACUGACGCUGAGGCACGAAAGCGUGGGGAGCAAACAGG
rnacentral:rRNA from 1 species